rnacentral:rRNA from 1 species
GAUUUCUGGUCUGGUGCGCCUGGCCCGCCGCUCUUAGCGUGUGAGUGCCGGGUCGCGCCUGCCAUCCUUCUAGAGAACGUAUCUACCCUUCACUGGGCCGGAUAUCGCGAUCUAGAUCUUUUACUUUGAAAAAAUUAGAGUGUUUAAAGCAGGCUAUUGCUAUGAAUACAUUAGCAUGGAAUAAUAAUCUAGGACUUCGGUUCUAUUUUGUUGGUUUCUAUAACUGAAGUAAUGAUUGAUAGGGAUAGUUGGGGGUGCUAGUAUUGGCCGGUCAGAGGUGAAAUUCUUGGAUUCGGUCAAGACUAACUUAUGCGAAAGCAUU